rnacentral:rRNA from 1 species
UACAGAGGGGGCAAGCGUUAUUCGGAAUUAUUGGGCGUAAAGGGCGCGUAGGCGGCUUGGCAAGUGGAAGGUGAAAUCCCUCGGCUUAACCGAGGAACUGCCCUCCAAACUGCUUCGCUUGAGACCGGGAGAGGUGAGUGGAAUUCCCAGUGUAGCGGUGAAAUGCGUAGAUAUUGGGAGGAACACCAAUGGCGAAGGCGGCUCACUGGACCGGUACUGACGCUGAUGCGCGAAAGCGUGGGGAGCAAACGGG